CUUAUCUUGCACUAGAAGGAUCUGUAGCUUUUCCAGCUGAGAAUGGGGUUCAGGAUACCGAAUCAACACUAGAAAAGAGAGAAACUGGGGAUGAAGAAAACUCAGCUAAAUUUCCUAUAGGAAGGAGAGAUUUUGACAUAUUCUCAGACCACUUCUACCAAAACAUAAAUCUGUGAUUGUGAUCUCUGAAAGUCAGUCCUUUUAUCUACUCAAAAGAAGACACUAAGGUUUUCAGAAAUUAAAUUGCUUUUUGGAAAAGGUGGGAGAUUCUGGGAACAUAGAAACUUGAAUCCAGUUUUCUUCAACUCCACGUCAAGACAGUUGCAUUGUGUGAGAAAAUAGCUACGGCCAUUUGUGUAACUGAUCUGAUAAUGUCAACUUUUGAAAACAGAUAGUUAUGACUCAAGGCUUUGAGAAUGUAAAGAGACGCCCUUCACAUGUUGAGAAAUGGCACGAUUUCACGUUAUCAGUGCAGUUCGGUUCUCAGGGGGAAAGCCCAUCCGUACUACCAGGAGACUGGAUCCGCAAAGUAGACACUUGGUCUCAUGAAGCCACUGCUGGGCUCCAGAGAGAAGGAAAAACUAAGCGGUUUUAAAACCCCCGCCCUCCUUGGUUUACCUCCAUCAUUAAAAAACAACAAUGACAACGAC
rnacentral:lncRNA from 1 species